rnacentral:rRNA from 1 species
AUCUAUGGCCAUGCCACCCUGAACAAGCCCGAUCUCAUCUAAUCUCAGAAGCUAAGCAGUGUCAGGCCUGGUUAGUACUUGGAUGGGAGAUCACCUAGGAAGACCAGGUGCUGUAGGUG